rnacentral:misc_RNA from 1 species
UCUCUCUCUCUCUCUCUCAAACACUAUAAAUGGUUACAUUUUACUUGAGUAUCAAGGGAUUCCUACUGAAAUACACAAUAUCAGCUUCUUCAUCUCAUUUAUUUUAUCUCAUCAGUUAAGACCAAUCAUGGAACAUCACAUUUAUGAGAUUGAUUUUUUUACUUUUGUAACACAUAAUUUAUUCUAGAUAUCCAUGUCACCCAACUUGUGAUCCAAGUCUAUUUAUUACAAGGAUUGAUCAGUAGGAACUAGGACCUUUAACAUGACCAAAACCCAUCUAUUAGGCUUGAAAGAUCUACAGGAAACAACAAAGUAUGUAACAACAGAGGCAAACCAUGCAAGAUUAAUGGUAGAAAUUCGAUAUCAAGCUCCACGGAUGUGUUGGAUCUGCUGGAAAUGCAUCUGGGCUGCUCUGUUAUUAGCUGCUGCUUCAUCAUUUUCCUCAUCGUCCACAAUUGUAGUUGCAGAACUUGAGGUUGACUCGUAAGAAAAGAACAAGUGGAGUAGAGUUCCCAUUAUACAACCCAGUAUGGGAAGAGAGGAACACAUCACCAAGGCCUGUCUCAGAUUCAUCAUGUGAUUAGAUUGAAUUGGCUUAUGGCAGAUGAAAGAAAAUCCCUUGAAAAUGUG